UACGGAGGGUGCAAGCGUUAAUCGGAAUUCCUGGGCGUAAAGCGUGCGCAGGCGGUUUGUUAAGUCUGUUGUGAAAUCCCCGAGCUCAACUUGGGAAUUGCAAUGGAUACUGGCAGGCUGGAGUAUGGUAGAGGAAGGUGGAAUUCCCGGUGUAGCAGUGAAAUGCGUAGAGAUCGGGAGGAACACCAGUGGCGAAGGCGGCCUUCUGGACCAAUACUGACGCUCAUGCACGAAAGCGUGGGGAGCAAACAGG
rnacentral:rRNA from 1 species